rnacentral:lncRNA from 1 species
AAAGUGGCAGAAUGAGGGAAUAUUGAAGAGGACUACAGAGCAGCAAAGACAUGAACCAUUACCCCAAAAUGAGAAAGGAGGACAGAGAAAAAUACCAUUACAAAUAAAAAAUAAACAGAUUGUGUGGCAUUAUUCUUUUUUUUUUUUUU